GAGUGAUCUAGCUAAAGACUUAAAACAAGAGUGAGUCUUCCUGGAGCAAAGAAAAGCCGGUUGGGUCUUCCAAAGCUGUGAAGGGCACAUGUGCUCUUGUGCCUCUACUGGGCAAGACUACUGAGAACCAGACAGACACCAAGAACUGGAUUUUGGACAAUGAGAGUAGUAUUGGUCUGUGAUCAGUUCUGACGCCGCUACCAAGGGAGUCUGAUGCUGCUGAAGGCUGCCUUUGAGAGGGUGGCAUCAAGGAGCCUGAGGUUCAAGAGGCCCUUGAGCCGCAGCCCGGAUCGUUAAGGGUGCUGGGAUCCGCUCAGAACUUCUUUUCUGUGCCCUUCAGCAACUCCUCUGCCUCACAAACCAAUCCGAAAAGAGAAUGACUAUUAAACAAUGCCAGGAAAGCAGUUAACCAAUUGUAGGAAAACAUCACUAGAUUCUUACUUCAUGUCAAGGACAGAAAUAGAUCAAGAUGAACGAAAUAAUUGUGCCCACUAAUGAAGCCAGUAAGCAACUGAAACAGAAUUAAGCUGUUGUUUGUUUGAUCCUGUUAUGGAAAUGAACUUUCCAAGAAAAUAGAGGGAAACUUCAAAGGGAGGAUUGCUACCAUGGUAAUGUCAGGAAAGAAUAUUUAGAAAUGUGUCUAUGUCUAUGAAAAUAUCAACUUGUUUUUAAUAAGCAGAAUUACUGAAUACAUUUGGCAACAUA